GAAGCAGGAAGAGAGUUUAAGACAGUGAUGUGUGAAUAUUAAGGAAGUAGUCAUUUUGUUUGGUUUCUUGUUCCUUGACACACACACAUAUAUUUGUGCAUAGAUCCACAGUCAUAUACCCAGACUCAAACCCUCACAUGGCUCCUCAUCUCUCCGUUUUCAUCCCCCUCAUCAUAAUUUUUUCCAGACUAUCAGUAAUGUCAAUGCCAUCCACCGAAGACUCGUACUUAACAUCAGCGUACAGCAUGUAUAGAUCUGAAGACGUCAGUAGAUUACUCUACAGAUUGGAGCGAACCGUCUUCUACCUGGUGAAAAUUGUUAAUGCAAUGUUCUUCCUCCUGUGCACCAUCAUUGCUGUGUUUAAUUUCAAGGUUAACAAAAUUCGAGGUAAAAUUCCGGUCUCUUUGGUGAGAACAGAUGUGUGACCAUACAAUUGUGUUUUAAGUUCCAUUAUUCACCAGCGAGAUGUUUUUUUUGUUUGUUGUUACAGCCAAACAUUUAUUUCAAUCGGAAUGUUUUAUUCAUUUGUUUUACUGGUGAUUGAAGCUAAAACUACACUGUGUGCACAAUUAUUAGGCAAGUGAGUAUUCUGAUCUUAUCAUUAUUGCUAUUCACAUUUUCCAACUCCAAACCAUGUAAACUUGAAUGCUUAUUGGAUUUAAUCAUUUCCAGGUGAUAUGUAUUUGUGUGAUGAGGGAGGGUGUGGUGAAAGUGAAAAACAUGUGUAUAAUUAUUAGGCAGCUUCAUUACCUUAGGUAAAAUGGGCCACAAAAUGUAUUUAAUUAACUGACACUGAAAAGACAAAAAUGGUAAAAUGCCUUUCAGACGGAUGAACACUCUUGAAAUAGCUAAACUAUUGAGGCGUGACCACCGGACAAUCAAACGUUUUGUUGCGAAUAGUCAACUGGGGCGCAAAAAACCCACGGAGAAGAAAAGGCGCAAAUUAACUGCAAAGACUUGAAGAUAAUUAAACGUCAAGCUACCAGGAACCCAUUAUCCUCCAGCUACCAGGAACCCAUUAUCCUCCAGCUACCAGGAACCCAUUAUCCUCCAGUGCCACCAUAUUCCAGAACUGCAACCUACCUGGAAAGUCCAGAAGUACAAGGUGUCAAGUGUUCAGAGACAUGGCCAAGGUCAAGAAGGCUGAAACACCAUCACCACUGAAUAAGAUUCACAAGUUGAAGUGUCAAGAUUGGGCCAAAAAAAUACCUGAAGACAGAUUUUUCAAAGGUUUUAUGGACAGAUUAAAUGAGUGACUCUUGAUGGACCUGAUGGAUGGGCCCGUGGCUGGAUCAAUAAUGGACACAGGGCACCACUUUGAGUCAGGAGCCAGCAAGGUGGAGGAGGGGUACUGGUAUGCGCUGGGAUCAUUAAGGAUGAGGUAGUUGGACCUUUUUGGGUUGAAGAUGGUCUGAAACUGAACUCCCAAACCUACUUCCAGUUUCUGGAAGAUACUUUCUUCAAGUAGUGGUACAGGAAGAAGUCCUCAGCAUUCAAGAAGGCCAUGAUCUUCAUGCAGGACAAUGCUCCAUCACAUGCAUCCAAUUACUCCACUGCUUGGCUAGCCAGCAAGGGCCUCAAAGACGCCCGAAUAAUGACUUGGCCCUCUUCCUCACCUGGCUUAAAUCCUAUUGAGAACUUGUGGGCCCUUCUCAAAGGUGAGAUUUACAGUGAGGGAAGACAAUCCACCUCUUUGAACAGCAUUUGAGAGGCUGUGGUUGAAAAGAAGGGUUGCUAUAUUGAUAACUGAAUAUUUACUGAAUAAAGUCCAAAAUGUUUAUUUAAUUGUCAUUUUGCGUUACUUAUUUGUUACACUUACUCUAAAAAUUGAGAAUAAACAAGUGAGUUGGGAGAAAUUACUUUUGUAAUUUAGUUGCCUAAUAAUUGUGCACACAUAUAUUCCCCUGAGAAAGACAAAACUCACUUUUCCUUUGUUAAACAUUCAGAUUUGAGGUUCAGUAACAUUUUGGAUUGACGGAGAGCAUUGUGUUUGUGUUAUGACUUGAGUGAGGACCCAAAAGCGGUUUAACAAAAACAGAGUCCUUUAAUGUAAAAACACAGGGAAGACAUAGAUCCUCUU